GGCCUAACACAUGCAAGUCGAGCGGGCCCUUCGGGGUCAGCGGCGGACGGGUGAGUAACGCGUGGGAACGUGCCCUCUGGUUCGGAACAACCCUGGGAAACUAGGGCUAAUACCGGAUACGCCUGUGGAUCUUGGGUCCAUGGGGAAAGGCUUGCUGCCGGAGGAUCGGCCCGCGUCUGAUUAGCUAGUUGGUGGGGUAACGGCCUACCAAGGCGACGAUCAGUAGCUGGUCUGAGAGGAUGAUCAGCCACACUGGGACUGAGACACGGCCCAGACUCCUACGGGAGGCAGCAGUGGGGAAUAUUGGACAAUGGGGGCAACCCUGAUCCAGCCAUGCCGCGUGAGUGAUGAAGGCCUUAGGGUUGUAAAGCUCUUUUAUCCGGGACGAUAAUGACGGUACCGGAGGAAUAAGCCCCGGCUAACUUCGUGCCAGCAGCCGCGGUAAU
rnacentral:rRNA from 1 species